rnacentral:miRNA from 1 species
AACCACCAACCUUCAGAUUAGGGACCCCAUACACCCAGGGUUUGGGACAUACUUUUGCUGAAAAGUCCGUGAGGGGUAUAAGCUGA